CUCUUCAAUGCUCUCUUCUCCUUCUCACAUACGUUUCUUCACCCUGUCUCUAUCUUCAAUCAAAUAAAUCUUUCCUUUUUCCUUAUUGUUUCCCUUUUCAUAGUACAGAAACCAUAGGUUUCUUCCUUUGCUUCUUCCUUUGCGGCUUUAUUCUUGGUAUAGGUAAUUUCAAGGUUACAAUCUUUCACAAUUAUUUUGUUUUCGUAUUCAAAUCUCCCAGUACCUCUCUGAAAGUUGAAGCACUGAUGUCAUCGCACCAUCAAAGUUGUCGAUUUGAAGGUCAUCGCUCUCUCUGGCUCAUGAAAUCAAGGUUUAUGUUCAAAGCAAAUCAAUGGUGACAUGAGGACUCAAAAACGCUGCUUCCCUCCACUGAUAUCUUGACCGCCGGAAGAAGAAAUAGGUAAUGUUUCUGUACCUUUUAUGUUUUGAUUCAAUUAUUGCUUUCAGUUUCUCUCUUUCCUUUCUCGCUCAAAACCCUAGAUCAAAUGAGUGCAAGUUCCUGUUCUUCAUUCUCAUAUUCAUCAAUCAAUAACAUAGGUAUCAAAACUUUGCAAUCAAGAUAUCAACAAGAGAUUCACGUUCUUUUUAUAUCUUAACAGAAGAGAAAGAUCAAUCCAGGUUUUAAUCGAUCUCAAAUCAGCAGGCAGAAGGCAUAAGGACAAAUUUCAUCAAUACAUGACAAUAACUGGAAUAGUGAAAAAGUUGCACUUGCUUGAAGAGCAGUGAUUGGCAUUUGAUAUCUUCUAUAUACAGAUCAUGCUAAAUCGUUCAUAGAUAUGCGACUUUUAGAGGAAUUGUAUAACAAAUACAAAGAUCUUUUCGUUGAUAUCCGCAUAGCUGGUGGGGUGGUCGGCUGCUUCGGUUGGCAGCUCAAAAUGUGUUCAGAACAUUGAUAUAAGUCACCAAAUCUUUGGUACAGAAAGCUGGCUUUUACUCAACCGCGAUCCAGCCUUCCUUCAAUUCCGAUCAACGGUACAUGAGGACUAUCCUUGAUUCAUGAAGGAAUCCAACCUUUUACUCAACCGCAAUCCAGCCUUCCUUCAAUUCCGAUCAACGGUGCAUGAGGACAAUCCUUGAUUAAUGAAGGAAGCGGUAGUGAUUUCAACCCAGGCGUUUCGGCUGUGUUGUAUUCUUGACCAAAAACACUCCUGUAAAGAUUUUGGUCUCUCAAGGAUCAUACCGAAUGAUGUCACUCAUUCGUCAAUAGCCCCUUAGGGAUUUUGUUAGAAGAUUGCCAUUCCUUGGAUCCCGAAAGAAAGUUAGCAACAAUGUGGUAAGCCAGCCUCAUUUGUAUUUAUGACUUUGCCAUUGAAUUUAUUAGUGUUUAAAGAGAAGAGCAAGUGCAUGUUUUCUCUCUUUUUAUGUUUUUAUGUCUCCUUUAAAGAGAAGAGAAUGUACAUGAUGGUAAAAAGAUAAACAUAGAUGAAGAAGAUACAAUAUUGAUGAUGAUAAUGGCUGAAGAUGAACAAUGGCGGCAACGGUGGCUGAAUUAGGGUUCCGCUCAGAAUCUUUGAUAUUUCGGCCAGAAGCUAGGGUUCUGUGUUAGGUUCCAGCGACACAGGUAAGAUAAAUGGUCUUCAGGGUGGCUUUUCCGGUUGUAUUUUACCAUAUUAAUGAUUGCAUAUAAGGUAUUCAUAUGCAAAAUGACUAAGGGUUUGUUGCAGAUUACUUAAUGUCUUCGCGUUACCGUAGUAAUGUGCGCCAACCCCAUGUAAAUUGUCUCCUUUUUCUGCUGUUGGCAUCUCUUUUUUUAUGGGUAUAAGUCGCUAUAAUAGAUUUCGGUGUGUUGCUUUAAUUAAAUAUAUUACAAGUUAUGUCUUACAAGUUAAGAAGGAUAGAAGUUUGUGAAGAUAUGUGUUACAAGUUAUAAAAGGGAACAAAAUCCCCAAAUGGGUCAACCAGGUAGCCAGAAUAGGUACUAUAUCAUCCCUUUUUUAAAUUUCUUUGGUUAUGGAUGUCCAUAUUGACCCAUUUACACAUGAAUCAGUUAGUUUAGAAUGUGUUUUAUUCUGAACGCAUACAAAAUGUCACACUAAUCCUUUCAUUUAAUGACUUAAAUUAAUCAUGUUCUAAUUCAAUAACUAUUUAUUAUUGUUGUUGUAAAUGGAUAAAAAAAGUGGGUGGGUUAUUCAUGACUCAAGCCCUGCUGGCCUAUAUUGCCUGGUACCAAAAAAUAACCAUUUCAAUUUGAACGAUUUUAGCGAGUUACCCAACCUACCUGACCCACUUUACAUUGUACCUUGACUUUUAGUUAUGUUGGCAUUGUGAGCUCAUCUUCUCAUGUUUUUUUUAGAUUCAUGUUGUCACUACAUACUUCCAAAGGCUAUCAAGGGUAGUUCCGCUGUUAGAAAUGAAUCAAACUCUCAAGAAAAUGAAAAGAGGAGUUUAACGAGUAGGUGCACAUAAAUUAUCUCCCAUUUAAAGGAUGCAGGUCUGAGAUAUACUAUAUUAUUUUUCUUUAUGUUUGGCAUUUAUGUAUAUUUAACUGGUAAACUUCUUUUAAUCAACAUUAUAAUUUUUAGUUUGUGGUUUUUCUAUGCGAAAGAGGGUAUAGUUAAGCCAUAUUUGUGGGGCUUGGACGCCGGUUGAAAAGAACAAAGCCAAACAUUCACGCUUGCCUGAAAAUGAUGAGGGGGUGGGUCUGCUUGGACAACUGAUGUAAGAAGUAGUAGAGCUGGUAAUUGUGGCCCGUUUACUUAGGACUGGGUCAAUGUGUGUGUAUAUUAUCUUAAAUGGGUUGAAUGAAAAGAUUUCAAAACAAGUUAUCAAGGGAAAUGGUAUUUUUUUUACUGUGAUGGGUAUUUAGAUUGGUGGGUUUGUUAGUGAGUCGAAACAGGAGUAAUGUUUGAUGAAUGGAAGCAUUAUGAGUUCUUAGAUGUGGUGUUAUGAGGCAUGUUCGUGUUUGUUCAUUUAACUUUAACCGAACACAAAGACGAACAUAUAAUCGAACACAUUUUUUUGUUCGUGUUCGUUUAUUUAGAAAAUGAGCAUGUGUGUGCUUGUUUAUGUUCGUUCGUUUAAAACCUAAACGAACAGUUCACCAACAUAAACGAACAUAAACAAUUUGAAGUUAGAUGUUGGAUAACUGGGUAGAUGGGUGUAUAUUUGGAUAGCAAUUUGAAUUAUUGAAGCCCUAUUUUGUGCUUAUACUGAUAUAAUAGGUAAUUUGGGAAAAUGAGAAUCUGAAUUUUAUAAUAUGGUUAAAGCCUACGAAUAUGGCAGUUUGAUUUGGACCAGAGACGAGUGGGGAAUACUAUGGGCCAGUUAAAUAGGUAACCUAAUGCUCUUCUCAACUUUUUUAUUGAGUGUACUUCUUAAGAAUUACAUUUGGUUGCUAUGUCAUCCAAAUUUUAAUAAAGAUUAGAGGUGGCAAGAUGGGCAUUCUAGGCCAAUUUUGUAGUACGGGUCAGGUUAUGUUGAAUCAACCCGAAAACACCUUUUAGUCUAUGGUUUAUAAUAAUUACUUUGUUUAUCAUUACAAUAAUAAUCUAAACUUUUUACACAGUCCAUCUAGGAUGUUCUAUGCUUAAGAAUGUAGCCUUUGGUAUACUUUCAAGUUUCAAUCCAUUUGUUCCAUUUUUACUUUUUAGCCAUUUUUUUUAAUUUGACCCGUUUGAGAUAAAAUAAAACCCAAAUCGAUCCAUUUAUAAGUAAAAGGGUAGUAGUUGCCGCUUUUUAUUACUAGAGAUUAAACUUACAGCUUCGAUGUCUGUGGGCACGCAUAUAAGGAAGUGGCUGAAAUCAAAGGACAAUGUAGGAGUGGUGGAUGGAUCCCGGUUCGAAAAUAGAUCGAGCCGUCUGAUGUUCAAAUCGAAGCAACCUAGCAGAUUCUGUAGUUUACGAUUGUUACAAUACAGUUCAAACGCCAUUUGAUCAACAAUUGUUUUAACACCGUCAACGUAUCUACGUUUUGCACGCAUAAUGGAGUUUGGUGCUAAUCGGAUCUCCACGGCAACGUGUGAGUUUCGGAGUUUGCAAUGUUAUCAUACCAAGAAUGAUUCGGUUAAGCGCAACGUGGCGCUGUGUAUCAAGGUGGUAUUUGGUUUUGAAUAGACAAAUAAAAAUAAAUUACAAUUGUGCUAAUCUUUAGAAAAAGAAACUUAUGGUUACAUGUUCAAUGAACAAUUACUAUUUGAUGUCUAAUUUUAUUAGAAUAAUAUAAUUUGGUCAUUGUUUCAGAUUA